UACGUAGGGUGCAAGCGUUGUCCGGAAUUAUUGGGCGUAAAGGGCUCGUAGGCGGUUUGUCGCGUCUGCUGUGAAAACUCGGGGCUUAACCCCGGGCCUGCAGUGGGUACGGGCAGACUAGAGUGCGGUAGGGGAGACUGGAAUUCCUGGUGUAGCGGUGAAAUGCGCAGAUAUCAGGAGGAACACCGGUGGCGAAGGCGGGUCUCUGGGCAAUUCCUGACGCUGAGGCGCGAAAGCGUGGGGAGCAAACGGG
rnacentral:rRNA from 1 species